rnacentral:snRNA from 1 species
GUACUCACUUCAACAGCACAUAUGAUUGGGAUGACACAGAGAAGAUUAGCAUGGCUCCCAAGCAAGGAUGACAUACAAAUUCAUGAAGUGUUCUACAUUUUU